CCGUGCAUAUCAAUAAGCGAGAGGAAAAGAAACCAACAGGGGAGGGAACUAGUAGACGGCGAGUGAACAGGCAAGAGCUCAGAUUUGAAAGCCUUUUUGGCAUUGUAUUCUGAAGUCAGUUUCCUGACUAUCGGUGUUUAAGUCUUCUGGAAAGGAGCGCCAUGGAGGGUGAUAGCCCCGUACGACACCUCACUCAUUGUAGGAUUCUGACGUGGAGUCGAGUUGUUUGGGAAUGCAGCUCAAAAGGGUGGUAUGCUCCAUCUAAAGCUAAAUAUCUGUGAGAGACCGAUAGCGAACAAGUACUGUGAAGGAAAGAUGAAAAGAACUUUGAAAAGAGAGUGAAAAAGUACGUGAAAUUGUUGAAAUGGAAGGAUAUGCCGCUAACAAUGUAGAGCCGUGUUUGGGGGGAAGACAAAAGCUGAAGAAUGUAACUCUUUUAGGGAAUUAUAACUUCAGUCAAUAUUCGCCAUGCCAAGCGACGAGGACCUGCAGGCUCUACUAUUUUAAUGGGGAGAAAAU
rnacentral:rRNA from 1 species